GGUUGAUCCUGCCAGUAGUCAUAUGCUUGUCCCAAAGAUUAAGCCAUGCAUGUCCAAGUAUAAACCAAUUUAUACGGUGAAACUGCGAAUGGCUCAUUAAAUCAGUUAUAAUUUAUUUGAUGGUCUCUUUACUACUUGGAUAACCGUGGUAAUUCUAGAGCUAAUACAUGCAAAAAGCCCGACUUCUGGAAGGGUUGUAUUUAUUAGAUAAAAAACCAAUGCUUCGGCUACUGGUGAUUCAUAAUAACUUUGCGGAUCGCAUGGCCUUGCGCCGGCGACGCUUCAUUCAAAUU
rnacentral:rRNA from 1 species